rnacentral:lncRNA from 1 species
GAGCACGACGCUGGUGCAGCACCUGCUUCCCUACCUGCUUCCCGGCCUCCUGGGGCAGGUCAGCGAGAUGCUGGGGGAGGAGAUGGCGCCGUCCCUCAGGGAGCCAGGGAGCACCGACACACCGGGCAGGCUUUUUGUGUUGGCAUUGGAGCUGGUGCUGGCCAGGUGCCUGGACAAUCGGUGGCUGCAGCUGCUCCGGGAGCAGGGAGCGUGGGCKUCCCUGGCAGAGCCCCAGGCUCACACCACCGGCGUGUGUCUCCUGGCGAGUGUGCUGCUCCGCGCGGAGUUCAUCCCGCAGCGCCUGGUGCAGCRCCUCUUCCCCUGGCUGGAUUCGCGCUUGGCGAACCUGAGGCUCACGGCCACGGCUUUCUUUGCCGAGGUGAGGCAGCAGCGGGGCAGGGAGGGCUCAGAGGGGUUCCUGUGUCGCGUCCGGCAUGAAAAGCGCCCGAUGCUAGCGGCUGUGGGGCUUGAUUGCAGUUGAUGAAGGAGCAGCUGGUGGAGGAGAGGAAGCUCCUGAAGCCCCUCUUAGAGGCCUUUGGGGAGAGAGCGCGCGACCCCGUCAGCACUGUGCGUCAAAUGGCCGUGAGAGGCCUGGGCAACACAGCCAGU